UAAGGUGCAUCUAGUGCUGUUAGUGAAGCAGCUUACAAUCUACUGCCCUAAAUGCCCCUUCUC
rnacentral:pre_miRNA from 1 species